rnacentral:sRNA from 1 species
UCUGGUCGUGGAGGCUUUGCAUAAAAAUGCACAUAGCUGAGGCCGGGUGCGGUGGCUCACACCUGUCAUCCCAGCACUUUGGGAGAAUCAUGUGAACCCGGGACGCAGGGGUUGCAGUGAGCCGAGAUCGCAUCAUUGCACCCUAGCCUGGGCCACAGGGCGAGACUCCGUCUCAAAAAAAAAAAAUGCACAUAGCUAUGGAGUGGGCUUUAGCUUGAAAAGGUGACCUUGCAACUUCACGUCAACUUUUGGCUCCUCAAACAGUAGGUUGGCAAUAAGGCAGGGUCCCAUUUCUCACUGAGAAGAUUGUGAAUAUUUCCAGAUGGAUUUUCUAUUAUUGUUACUCUGAUCCUUUGUUUUAAAAUAAAAAUUCUGAAUGUACACG